rfam:TPA: Bos taurus chromosome 7, whole genome shotgun sequence.
UCUCUGGUGGUCCAGUGGCUAAGACUCUGUACUCCCAAUGCAGGCGGCCCGGGUUCGAUCCCUGGUGGGGGAA